rnacentral:rRNA from 1 species
CACUCCUACGGGAGGCAGCAGUGGGGAAUAUUGCACAAUGGGCGCAAGCCUGAUGCAGCCAUGCCGCGUGUAUGAAGAAGGCCUUCGGGUUGUAUAGUACUUUCAGCGGGGAGGAAGGCGAUAAGGUUAAUAACCUUGUCGAUUGACGUUACCCGCAGAAGAAGCACCGGCUAACUCCGUGCCAGCAGCCGCGGUAAUACGGAGGGUGCAAGCGUUAAUCGGAAUUACUGGGCGUAAAGCGCACGCAGGCGGUCUGUCAAGUCGGAUGUGAAAUCCCCGGGCUCAACCUGGGAACUGCAUUCGAAACUGGCAGGCUAGAGUCUUGUAGAGGGGGGUAGAAUUCCAGGUGUAGCGGUGAAAUGCGUAGAGAUCUGGAGGAAUACCGGUGGCGAAGGCGGCCCCCUGGACAAAGACUGACGCUCAGGUGCGAAAGCGUGGGGAGCAAACAGGAUUAGAUACCCGUGUAGUCCCA